AUGGGUGGGGGCAUGGGAGGGGGCUGUGGGACCCUCAGUCUCCGUGGCAACAGCACCCGCAACAGCACCAAUGUGGUGGACCAGCAGCGCACGAUGUCCAUGGACUUCUAGGUGGACCAGGAGGGAGGAGUCAGGAAGAGGUCUUCAGGGGGAGGAGAGUCAGACGGGGAGGAGAGGAGUCAGACGAGGAGGAGUCAGGUGGGAUAAAUACAAAAGCUCCGGAUAGGCCAGAAAUUCGCCUCCACCUCCCACCUGAGGACAGUGAAGAAGAGCGUGUGGGAGACAAGUGGUUCUCCUGGUCGUCUGAUUGGUGUAUGGUGUCCUCUUCAUGGCAGCACCAUCUUACUGGCAUGGAGACCCUGACCCUAUUGGGUUGCCUAGGGAACCAGGAUGCCAUUGGUAAACUGGAAGAGGCCACCGUUGAGAUUUUCGUUUUUACACUUUCACCUGUCAUGCAGAGAUUAUGACGUACAUAUAUAUAUAUAUGACACGUCUUCUAAUAAUUUAUUGAGCCUUUACUUUUUUCUGUGUAUUGUAUAAUUAAACAAGAGUAUAUCCGGCCUCAUGGUGUUGCUUGGCUUUUAACUUGUUGAUCUUCUCGAUGGUUGCUCAGAUAAACUUUUUCCAUGUGUGCUGCUGGCAUUGAAAAUAUUAUUAAUAAUGAAUGAAUAAUGAGAGGAAAAACUGACAAUAAUGCUCACAUAAAAGAUUUCAACUCCAAGCAUUUUUUAUUAAGAAAAAAAAAUGGGACUAGGACUUACCUGAAAUGAGCUUUAUAAAUGAUCUUUGUUGGUCUGCGACCUUCGUGAGGAUGUGUGAAGAGUCCCUCUUUCCGACGUUAUGCACCUCUGGCUACCAAGUAGAAACAAGCACAAUAAGAGACCACCUGACCAAGGCGUAGCGUGUAGCUGGGUCAAAUGUACUGAUUCCAAUCCCUGGUUGUAAAAUGUUAUGUUGAAUUAAAUGAGAGAAACUCAACCCCGUCCUCUUGUGUGAGAUUUCUUCAUUAGAAAGCUAAGAUGUAAAC
ensembl:lncRNA